GUGGUUUUUGUCGAAUUCCAUGAGAUGUGGAAACGGGGAAAAUCAUCUCAUGAAAUACUCAAGCAAUCGCUAGUUUCUCUACUAGAUGUCUUGAAAAUUUUGUGAGCAACUGAAUCACGAUUCCGUAGCUGAACGAAAGAGGGACUGCAAUAGAAUUCGUCUGCUAGGCAGAGAAAAAACAUGGAACGUCUACUGCUUGACUUUUUAUUAGGUGAGACAUCUCUUUAUCUGUUUGUACUAACAAAAUAAAAUAUUUCGUAAUGAACAGCAGAAAGAAAACGUCAUGACUACUCAGUUUGGGAAGUUUAUGACAAUUAGCCAUCUUCUAGUUUACAAUAUUCACACUUAAUGUUGAUCUAUUUAUAUUUUGGAAGGGAAAAGUGGGGUCAUGUUCUAUUGACUGUCACCGUUUAACCAGAGAUCAGUUACCAAUCAGGCGGCGCUACCUUAACUAAAUUUUCAAUGGACCAAUCUACCAUCUUAAAAUAUAAAUAAUGAACUAAACGCGAUGGACUGAUUCAACUAACACCAUACACAUUCUAAUAGAAAAAGGUCCCAAAUGGACACCAACUACCAGAGUAAGAAACGGGAUGAAAAUGCCACUACUUGACUGUGUGCAUUGCAAUGAAACCUGUAACCCAUUAACACAAUAGGCCUAUACAAUAAAUUUAACGACGUGACUGACAAAUUAAAUAACCUAUUAAAUUUUAA